AAUCUGAGUUACGUGUUUUGAAUACCCUCAAAGAUGACAAAUCUUGGCCUUUCGUUGGUGGAUUUGGUGUUGGAAAUAGACAAAAACUAGUUGGCGUUGAGUCUAACAAAUGCCUUUUUAGGUCAAAACUUGUUCCACAGAAGCCCAGUCUAAUCUGGAGCCUGAGCAUAGAAAAGAAAACAGACUUGGUCCUUGUGGAGUAAAAGUCAUCUCUUGGAUUCCUCUUGGAGGGUCCUUAAGGAGCAGCUGCUCCUGGCGGCCAGUUACUGCAGGGAGAACAGCCCAACACAGCUCUGCGACAGGCCACACCAUUGUUCUUGCUUUGGUCAGUUCCUUCAGUUUGCAGAUAAUAGAGGGAAUCACAUUGCCUGGGUCUUCUCUUUUCUCUGCUAAACAUCCCCAGUUCAGUCCCUCCUUCCUGGCAUAGUGUGGUUUCCUGACCCUUCAUAUCCAGCUUGCUGUCCUCCUGAUGUAGGCUGGUCU